rnacentral:lncRNA from 12 species
AUGGGGGCAUCCCCAGGACACACGUCCACAUGCCAACUUCCAGCACAUGGAGCGGAAGGGACGCGGCCAGCAGCCCGGGGACGCCUGGGGCCCCAGAUGCCGGAAGAGGCUGCCGGGACCCUCCCCGGAGCCUCCGGAGGGAGCGCGGCCCGCCUGGACCUCAGACUCUGCUCGCCAGACUUUGGGGAGCGAAGGCAGCCCAGAGUGGUGAGCGCCGUGUCCAGCACGAGUCCUCAAGCGGCACCUCGGGGCGUCUUGAGACAGACUGGUCAGACCGGCGACCCUGAGCACCACAGCCCGUCGGGGCUGCUGAUCCCCGGGGUUCGAGAGCCGCCCCCCCAGCCGGGCCCAGCCAUCUGCGUGUCCUCGCCAGCAGCCCGCGUGGAAAGAAUGCCCUUGCGGAGGACAGCUGAGUUAAGUCUUGUUUUGGCAGCACAUAACUCGGGUUAUUUUAAGGGCUCUUGUUCAUGCCCCAGAGGUUAUGUACCAGCAGAUUGCAGGAAAUCACAGCCACGCAUGGCAUUAGGGCCGCAUUACUGUCUGGCUCCAGAAUCCGAGCCGUGAGUUGUGAAGAUGGCUGUCAAGUUUCCUAUCUGGAUUUCAACCCCACACCUGCACCGUGAGGUGAAUUACUCCUGCAGUGGACCCUCCCCAGUGGAUCUGUGGACAGGUGGGGUCUGUGGACAGCUGCAGUGGAGUCUGUGGACAGGUGGGCUCUGUGGACAGGUAGGCUCUGUGGACAGGUGGGGUGGGGUCUGCAGACAGGUGUGGUGGGGUCUGUGAACAGGUGGGGGUCUGUGGACAGGUGGGGGUCAGUGGACAGGUGAGGUCUGUGCACAGGUGGGGUCUGUGGACAGGUGCCCUUCUUCCCACUGGGGUCAUGGCUGUGUCUGGCCAGUUGGAGAUUUCCCGAGCCUGGCGGGACAGGGGUUCAGGCCCCCAGGACGUCGAGCUCAGCUGAAGGCAGAUGCUCCACCCAUGGAGCCCCCCAGGUGCCCCUUGAAUCUGCAGGUGUUCGGGGCGGGCGCGAUGGGGGAGGUUGCUGCAGGAGGGUGCUGACGCGAGCUCCGGGCACCGACCGCGCAGGAGCACCCGCUGCAGACACCAGGCCUCCGCGGACCUGACCCCACAGCGCGGGUGCAUGGGAGCCCUGGGACUCUGCGCCCACCUGCAGCAGUUACAGGUUUGCCCUGACAGGUGACGCCCCGCGGCCGUCGGAAGCAGCACGCCUUCCACAGAUCGUACCUGAAGUGCGUGAGGGCCGCAGGAAGCCUGCGCCUUGCCCGGGGCCCUGUCCCAGCGCACAAGCGGGCCCCGGUGGCCCCCAAGCCCGCAGAGUCUCCCGGACGCCUGUGCAUCGAGGGGCGCAGUUAUUUCUGGCCAUAGCACAAGGGGACCGGAGGGCAAGAGUCUAAAA